rnacentral:lncRNA from 1 species
UAGUAAGAUCGCAAAGGUCGCUGUACAAUCGUAGCGAGAGCGUAGCGAAAGCGUGAUUCUAUUCGGAGAGACUGCGCUACGAUCGCACAGCGACGUUAUAACGACCUCACUACGACCAUCACGUUCUCACUGCGACCCAACUACGCUUCCACUACGACUAUACCACGCUGUUCACGACCAUAGUACGAUUCUAGCACGCCCUUGCCGUCCUCAUCACGCUCUUCUUACGACCUGACUACGUUCACACUACGACCAUCAUUCUCAUUGUCAUUUUCACAUAAAAUAUAUAAAAAUGCUCCCUAGAUUUUGUUUGUUUGAAUGUAAUUAUCCAUUUGCUCUAACGGUUCAACCAUGCUUCUCGUUUUUAUAUAGAUUAGACCGUUGGUUUUCCCGUUUAAAUGGUUUAACACUAGUAAUAUUUUGGGUCCUUUAUAACGUGCUGAUUGAUGUGAGCCAAGGCUCCGCGUUGAAGGCCGUACCGUGGCCUAUAAUGGUUUACUUUUAUAAAUUGUUACUUGGAUAGAAAGUUGUCUCAUUGGCACUCAUACCACAUCUUCCUAUAUAUAUUGAUACAUCUAUGUCAUCUCUGUUAUCGUUCACUAAAAUAUCGUCAUUGAGCUUCAUGGACCAGCAAUAGGUUGUAAUUUAGGUUGGAUUGGUCGGUCCGACAUCUCUGCUUGAUCAGGAUUCGUUACUUUGCUCCCUCUGCCUCUACAUAAACUCCUACCACCAUGCCCACGUGUUCUGGUAGAUUUUGGUGGCAUGACUGUAUUGUUUCCGAGAAAUCUACGAUUUAAUCAGAAAUAGAAGGAAUUGAACUGUAUUGAUAUGGAACACGAUGUUGACGUUAUUGCUGAGAACGUAGUAAGAUCGCGCUAUGAACGUAGUAUAAUCGUGGUAAGAACGUGUAAUAAUCGCAGUAAGAUCGUGUUGCAAUCGGAUAACUCGUGGUAUGGUCGUAGUGAGAACGUGAAGAGCGUAGAAAGAUCUUGAUAAGCGUAGUGAGGUCGCAGAAUAAGCGCGGUGAGAACGUGGUAUAAUCGUAGCGGGAUCUUUGUAGAAGCGUAGAGAUGACGUAGUAGCAUCGUGAAAGCAACGAAAAUUUACAUUUUCAUGCCGCUCAUACCGCGACCUCACCACGAUCUAAAUUUAUUUUAGAUCGCGGUGAGCGUGGUGCGAUCGUGGUCUAGUGGGACUGGGGCUUAAA